AUACGGAAGGUCCGGGCGUUAUCCGGAUUUAUUGGGUUUAAAGGGAGCGCAGGCGGAGAUGCAAGCGUGACGUCAAAUUUCGGGGCUCAACCCCGUCUCGCGUCGCGAACUGCGUCCCUUGGUUGCGGGAAGGGGAGGCGGAACUCGUGGUGUAGCGGGGAAAUGCAUAUAUAUCACGAAGAACACCGAUCGCGACGGCUGCCUGCCGGCCCGCCAACGACGCUCAUGCAAGAAGGUGCGGGUAUCAAACAUGAUUAGAGACCCUGGUAGUCCGCACAGUAAACGAGGGACACCCGCGGUUGGGCCUGUAUGGCUGAGCCGCCAAGCGAAAGCGUUAAGUGUCCCACCUGGGGAGUACGCCGGCAAGGGUGAAACUCAAAUGAAUUGGCGGGG
rnacentral:rRNA from 1 species